AACGAACGCUGGCGGCAUGCCUAACACAUGCAAGUCGAACGAGACCUUCGGGUCUAGUAGCGCACGGGUGCGUAACGCGUGGGAACCUGCCCUUAGGUUCGGAAUAACUCCCCGAAAGGGGUGCUAAUACCGGAUAAUGUCUUCGGACCAAAGAUUUAUCGCCUUUGGAUGGGCCCGCGUUGGAUUAGCUAGUUGGUAGGGUAAAAGCCUACCAAGGCGACGAUCCAUAGCUGGUCUGAGAGGAUGAUCAGCCACACUGGGACUGAGACACGGCCCAGACUCCUACGGGAGGCAGCAGUGGGGAAUAUUGGACAAUGGGCGAAAGCCUGAUCCAGCAAUGCCGCGUGAGUGAUGAGGGCCUUAGGGUUGUAAAGCUCUUUUACCCGGGAUGAUAAUGACAGUACCGGGAGAAUAAGCUCCGGCUAACUCCGUG
rnacentral:rRNA from 1 species